rnacentral:rRNA from 1 species
AUUGAACGCUGGCGGCAUGCUUUACACAUGCAAGUCGAACGGUAACAGGCCGCAAGGUGCUGACGAGUGGCGAACGGGUGAGUAAUGCAUCGGAACGUGCCCAGUCGUGGGGGAUAACUACUCGAAAGAGUAGCUAAUACCGCAUACGAUCUAUGGAUGAAAGCGGGGGACCGUAAGGCCUCGCGCGAUUGGAGCGGCCGAUGUCAGAUUAGGUAGUUGGUGGGGUAAAGGCUCACCAAGCCAACGAUCUGUAGCUGGUCUGAGAGGACGACCAGCCACACUGGGACUGAGACACGGCCCAGACUCCUACGGGAGGCAGCAGUGGGGAACUUUGGACAAUGGGCGCAAGCCUGAUCCAGCAAUGCCGCGUGCAGGAAGAAGGCCUUCGGGUUGUAAACUGCUUUUGUACGGAACGAAACGGCUCUGGUUAAUACCUGGGGCUAAUGACGGUACCGUAAGAAUAAGCACCGGCUAACUACGUG